GCCGUAAGAGGCAGACGGAGUGGUAGAUCUUCGGCAGGUAUUGGAAGAGGAAGAUGAUCAAGAACACCGUCAUUACUAGGGUUACCGACCCUUUUUCCAGUAACGAUGGAAUUGCCACCCAUAAUACAGCCUACACCACAUUCGAUUCAUAUAAGCUAUGAAACAUCGAAACAUCUCACCGUUUACACUAAAUAAACAAUAACAUAAUACUUUACAAUUGUUAGUUCGAUAGAUCAUCUGCAUCAUAUGAUGUGAAAUACAAACAUUCAAUGUCCGUACAUUGUACAUAUUCUAAAUCUUAAUUAAACAAUUCUAUCUGUAUUAUAUUGAACAGACUUUUUACUCUAUCUUAAUAUAUACAAAUCCGAUAUUAUUCGAACAAUUUAAAUUGGUACAAGCAUAUAAUCAUUUCUUAACCAUGAAACCCAAUGUUAAAUCAAAGCAAGAGUGACCAAAAAAGCUUAGGAAAAGCAAAUGGGAAACCUCUAGUAUGAAGAAAGAAGACCAAGGGAGAGAGAGAGACAGAGAGGCUGUGAGACAAAGGAUGAAUCUCACCGCAUGCUUCCUUUAUCAACAAAGCAGUGACGUCUAGUCAAUCUUUUGUUGAAAUUCGAGGUUGAAACAGUUUAUUCUUUUUGUCAUCCCACUUUAUUUUAUAUAGCAAUUAUUGUUAAUUAUUCUGUGUACAAGGUUCUUAUUAAGAUACAGACAAGCCAAUUUUAAUGAAAGGAAAAAAAAAUUAGAGAAGAGAAAAAAAUAAAAUUAUAAUAGCACCAAUUGCAUGUUGCACGUUUGUACUUCUACUUAAAUUAUGAUUAUUAGUAACUGUUCUCACUUUUGGGAGAUUAACUGUUCUCUUCUUGAAAAUUUUUCCCAAAGAGAUUAAAAGAAUAGCUAUACAAAUAAAAUAAUUAAUAAUAUAACAAAAAAAAUCCCUACUCAAUUUAAUCUCUAAUUAUCGAUUCUCUGUCCAAAGAGUUAAAUUUAAAUGUCAAUUUUUAAAUAAAUAAAUAAUUAUUUAGUCAAUGAUAUUUAAAUGAAAAGUUCUAAAUUUGAAUAUUAAGUAACUGUUUAUCUCAAAAUUUAUGAUUUUUAAAUUAAUUAUUAAUAUAUAUUAUAUAUACAUCCAAUUUAGGAUUGUUGUUAAUUUUUUUUAUGAACGGUCGAGAAACAAUAUAAUAUUUUAUUUUAUUCUCGCUUUCUAGACAUAAACUUUUUAAAUAUGUAUCCAAAGGAAAAAAAAUUAGAAAAUAUUAUUAUUUUUUAUUGAAUUAAUAUACAUAGAGACCAAAUUAAUAAUGUUUAAUUAGCAUGAUGUAUAGAUCUAUUUUAGGAUGAGAAUAUAUUCCACAAAAGGUUUAUAUUUGUUUUAGAGUGGCAAUUUUUGGUCUUAUAACAAGAACAACAAAAAUCCCAUUGCACUUGUAAUAAAAGAGAGAAAUAAUUGAACCCCAAAAGCCACAUCUUAAUCACAAAACGUUCUUUGGCCAAUAAAUUAUUAUGAUCCAACCAUAAAAAUUUAUUUAUAAAAAAAAAUAACAAUCUUAUGAACUUUUUAUUCUCCCCAUUAUACCCUCCCUAAAAAUGAUAAAACGACACGGUUGCAUCACAUAUUUGUUACAGUUUCAAGGGUAUCCCUUGCAUGCAUUAAAAUGAUUGAUGACGUGCACUUGUCAUCUCCACUCUAACACUAGUGUACAAACAAAUCUACAAACCAAGAGCCAUAUGUAAAAUCUUAGCCUCUUCACAUUAAUCAAUGAAACAUUAGAAAAUAUAUAUUGAUUAAUAUUAAUAUUAUCUUAGGAUAAUGAUGUGAAGAGGAUUGGAUUUAAUUAAUUAACCAAUUAAUGAUUUUGAUAUAAAAAAUUUAAUUACCUGCGGUAGAGGGAGGAUUACGAAGAGAUCAAAGAAGAAUCCCUUCCUAGCUUUCAAGUACUUGAUGGCCACACGUCGAGCGUUGGCGCCGAGGGGUCCACUCCUUUCUCUUCCUCCUCCUCCGCCGACGUCACUACCACCAUGGGUGGCGUUACUGCCAUACGAUGAUCUCUUGGCCAUCUUCAGUUGCAGCCACAUGUUCCAGACGUGCAAGGCGUCGGUCAUGCAGCGGAGCGCCGUCACCGUGAUAGCGAACCACCCGUCGAUGAAG
rnacentral:lncRNA from 1 species